rnacentral:lncRNA from 1 species
UCACUCUUCGGUCCAGCAGCCCAAGAGGCAAGAGCUCCGCUCAGCUCCCCACCACCAUGGGCGCCGCCCUGCUCCUCGUUCUCCUCGCCGCGGCCGUGGCCCUCGCCCUGGCCGGCGGCGACGCGCACCCGGGCUACUACUCCGACGACGAGGGCGGCACCACCUGCACGGUGGGCGCGGAGCUGCGGGUGGUGGAGGAGCGCGGGCCCGGGCGCAUCAUCGACAUCACGCACGCGUACGUGCCGGACCUGCCGGCGUUCGCGACGGGGGCGGUCACGGGGCCCGUGGUGCGCCUCAAGGAGUCCAUGGCGGACGGGUCCGAGUACAACCUCUCGGAGCUGAGGAUGGACUGCCACACGGGCACCCACGUCGACGCGCCGGGACACAUGAACCAGGGUCACUUCGCCGCCGGCAUCGACGUCGACGCGCUCGACCUCGACGUCCUCAACGGUGAGCUACGUCAUCUCAAAUAAAAAAAAAAAGGGGACCUGGAAUGGCGUUUGGGCUGGCGCACAUCGAGCUGGCUCUCGCGGCGCUGCUGCUGUUCCACUUCGACUGGCAGGGAGUUGCCGGGCGUGGGCGGGAUGGCGGCUGUCUGGCUGAGCUGGACAUGCCCGAAGCCUUCGGGAUCACGACUGGGCUAAGACUGACCUUGUGCUUGUCGCGGUGCCUCGAUCCCGUCCCGGUCUAUCUCCAUCGUUGAGUAGACAUAGGCCUUGUUUGUUUAGUUCCCAAAAUGUUUUAAGAUUUCCCGUCAUAUUGAAUUUUGCGGUACAUGCAUAACGCAUUAAAUAUAGAUAGAAAAAUAACUAAUUGUACAGUUUACCUAUAAUUUAUAAGACGAAUAUUUUAAGCCUAAUUAGUCUAUAAUUAAAUAAUAAUUAUCAAAUAAAACCGCCUAAAAUUUUUCACGAACUAAAUAAGGCCAUAGUUUGUUCUUUCCUUGGAGAAUCUACGUACCUCUAGUCAUAAAAGUUUAGUCUGUUGUGAACAAAACGCAAUAUGGCAAGACUGGAAAAAUCGGUAAGGAAAAAGAACUAAAGUAAGUCGUCAUCCAAAGACCGGAAAAAUGGGUAAAAGAAAAUACUAAAGCAAGACAUCGUCAGAUGAUCACCACAGACACCAUGGAGUCCAAACCCUCCCUCCCACCUUACCUCAUCUGUCGACCCCAGCUAGCUAGUAUAUGGACGCAUUGUCAAAGAAGAUUUCUCCCCUUCCCCAAAUCACACUUUCCCGCCUCCGCCUCCGCCUCUAUUGUUUUGGUGGUCCGUCACUAGUGGAUCAACCACCCUACAUCGCCGCCAUCCUUGAUGGCUAUGAAUUUGACACUUCUACCAAACAAUACUCCGCAACCAUUCCCCCAGUAGUGGUCUUGUCAUCAUCCGCUAUUCCAUCCACGCACCAUCAUCGUAGGCCACCUACUUUAAAUCCGAUAGACACAUCUGUCCUCCCGAACCCCAGCCCUAACCUUGAAACCUUAACCCCAACAUCUUAGCCCUAGUCCUAGCUAGAGGCCAGUUGCCGAUGGUUGCAAGAUCGUCGAAGCGUCACCACUAUGGGUUCUGGACACAUUUCUUACUUUUGUUGUUCUCUCUCCAAUCGCUAUCCACCACCACCACCCAUUCCGCCCAUGCAUCACCACCACAUGGCACCCAACCCUAUGGGCACAUAUGCCCUUCCUAACCCUUAACAAAACAUAUUCGUCCUAAUCUAAAUCAAAGGUUGCUGAUGUUGUAGGAUCAUCGGAGCAUCACCACUGUGGAUUCCGGUCCCAUUUUUUACUUUUUUCAUUCCCUUUGAUCAGUUUAUUUCAGUUUUUUUAGUGUUUCCUUGCCAAAUCAGGAGGGGCUCUUGAAUUUAAUCUUAACUCGAGAGGCUUCUCGAUUUAGCUUUUACCUAUAACAAUAAAACGUUGAUAAUUAUACAUAGAGGUAAACAUAUACAUACAAUGGGUAAAGAAAGCUUUGAAUCAAUCAAACAAGAGUACCUUUUCAAAGUGCUAGUGGCGUACGUCCCGCCACCCUAGAUAAACUCUUCGUCGACUUCCCUAAUAAACUCUACUUUGACCACCAUACACAUCUUGUGAUUCUUGUCAUUAGUGACAACUCAUACUACCCCGCUGGCCGGCUGGGAUGGCAACUAGGGGUUAGUUCCUCACAAAUUUUACAAAAUUUUUUAGAUUUUCUAUCAAAUCGAAUCUUUUGGCACAUGUAUGGAGUAUUAAAUAUAGAUUAUAAAAUAAUUAAUUGCACAGUUUGUCUGUAAUUUAUGAGACAAAUUUUUUAAGUCUAGUUAGUUUAUAAUUAAAUAAUAUUUGUCAAAUACAAACGAAAUUAAGAUAGUGUCUAUUUUAUAAAAAUAUUUACAACUAAACAAGGCCUAGGAGUUGAUCUGAGGUGGCGGCAUGGCGCUGCCGUCCCUGCGCCGCACCCCACGCCACAAAAAAACUACUCUUGUUUGAUCGUUUCCAAACUAUCUUUGCCCACACCGUUUGUUUACUGCCGUGUAUUGUGUACGUAUAUCUCGUGACCAGUCGUGCGAACCUCGUCGUAGCUUGUCGCGGUCGCUUUCGAUUUGGGAUCAUGAAACUUUGAUCCUUUGAUUGCGCACAUGCUGACAUGAAACCCAACUACUCCAGUGGGCAGUGGAUGAGUGAGACGGCCUGACUUUUGGUUUCACGUACUACGUAAACUGCACGCCCCUUUCAUUACGAGACAAAUAUCACUUGGCUGAUAAGAAAUGAUUAAAAGUAUUGUUCGCUGAUUUGUUGUUCAGUGGUUUUUGUUUGGCUGAUAAGCCGUAGCAGAAAGUACUGUUAGCUGAUUUGUUAUGAGAAAAAAACACUGAUGAAUGACUGGUUGAUUCAGUUGAUAAGCUCAAGCGAACAAUAGAGCUUGCUCGAUCGAGUACUGCGAAGAUGUUUUUUCAAAGCCGAGCGAAAAGAAACUGCCCUACCUGAAAACCAUAUAUAGGCCUUAUUUAGUUGGAGCCAAAAUCCGAAAACUUUUUAAGAUUCUCCGUCCCAUCAAAUCUUACGGCACAUACGUGAAGCAUUAAAUAUAUAUAACAAAAUUAAUUGUACAGUUUAUUUAUAAUUUACGAGAUAAAUCUUUUAAAUCUAAUUAAUUUAUAAUUGAAUAAUAAUUACCAAAUACAAACAAAACAUUUAAUAUACAUGAAGCUGUGCUACCUCAGCAACUAAACAAGCCAUACAAUAUGCCACAACGUGGUGCACGGCAUAGUGCGCAUUUUUUUAAUUGGUGUCUCGGCCAUAUCCACCGUCUGAUUAAAAUCUGGCGCUCCACGGUCACGCUCGGGCCACGGUCGCAGCUUUCAGUAGCCGCCCGCAGCAGCCCCAAGUUCGGAUCUCCCGCAGGCCGCGGCUACCGUGCCGGUUGGCGGUUUGCGAUUGCGACGGCGACGGCGACGUGGCGGCGGACGAGCGUCCAUAAAUCCCGCGCGCGGUGGAAUAGUCUGCCAACCGUCACUCUCCGUCUCCGGCGCGAGCCAGCAGCAGCUCCCAGUCCAGAUUCCGUCGGUCCAGCAGCCCGAGAGAACUCAGCUCAGCUGCGCUCCGCUCCCCACACACACCACACCACACCGUCAUGGGCGCCGCCCUGCUGCUCGCGCUUCUCCUCGCGGCCGCCGCGCCGCUCUCCGCGUCGGCGGCGGUCACAGCCGGCGACGCGCACCCGGGCUACUCCGACGAGGGCACGUGCACGGUGGACGCGGGGGUGGGCGCGGAGCUGCGGCGGCUGGAGGAGCGCGGGCCCGGCGGGCGCAUCAUCGACAUCACGCACGCGUACGUGCCGGACCUGCCGGCGUUCGCGACGGGGGCGGUCACGGGGCCCGUGGUGCGCCUCAAGGAGUCCAUGGCGGACGGGUCCGAGUACAACCUCUCGGAGCUGCGGAUGGAGUGCCACAUGGGCACCCACGUCGACGCGCCGGGACACAUCAACCAGGCCCACUUCGCCGCCGGCCUCGACGUCGACACGCUCGACCUCGAAGUCCUCAACGGUGAGCUACUACGUCAUCAUCUAAGAAAUCCCUGCUCUUUGGGCGAUUGGGCCGGCGUCAGUUCAGAUGAACAUGG